rnacentral:rRNA from 1 species
GAUGAACGCUGGCGGCGUGCCUAAUACAUGCAAGUCGAACGAAACUUCUUUAUCACCGCGUGCUUGCACUCACCGAUAAAGAGUUGAGUGGCGAACGGGUGAGUAACACGUGGGCAACCUGCCCAAAAGAGGGGGAUAACACUUGGAAACAGGUGCUAAUACCGCAUAACCAUAGUUACCGCAUGGUAACUAUGUAAAAGGUGGCUAUACUACCGCUUUUGGAUGGGCCCGCGGCGCAUUAGCUAGUUGGUAGGGUAAAGGCUUACCAAGGCAAUGAUGCGUAGCCGAAUUGAGAGGUUGAUCGGCCACAUUGGGACUGAGACACGGCCCAAACUCCUACGGGAGGCAGCAGUAGGGAAUCUUCCACAAUGGGCGAAAGCCUGAUGGAGCAACGCCGCGUGGGUGAAGAAGGUCUUCGGAUCGUAAAACCCUGUUGUUAGAGAAGAAAGUGCGUGAGAGUAACGGUUCACGUUUCGACGGUAUCUAACCAGAAAGCCACGGCUAACUACGUGC